UGCUUGCAAAAUAGUUUUUUCAUCAUAACUAGUUGAUAAAAAAAUAACUGUAUUAUUAAUACACACCAAAAGAAGAAUAAAUUUUUUAUCUACAACAUAUCCACUAUUGACAUUUUUCAUUCUUGAGGUUUUUGUUGUUCUUUGAGAGUUGCUACUUCCUUAUUUACUAGUAUUUGUUGUUGAUCCAAUGCCCCUUUGUCAAAGCUUAGUCUUUCUCAGUUGCUUUCCUUUUCUUAGGAGGUGAUCUUUUCUGAAAGAUGAAAUUGUUUUACAUCAGUUUCACUUAAUGACUGAAAAAACAAAAAUAAUAUCAAUUUUUGUAUGAGAAGAUUAGUUGAUUAACAAACUAAUCAACAUCUUUUAAGUUCAUUAAUUUACUAAUCAACUACUGUUGAGUUGAUUAAUAUAUUAAUCAAGUUUUGAUCAUAUCUUAAUCAACUUAAAUUUAAUAAUCUCCGGUUGAGAUGAUUAAUAUAUUAAUCAAGUUUUGAUCAUAUAGUAAACAACUCAAAUUUAAUCAUCUCCGGUUGAGGUGAUUAAUAUAUUAAUCAACUGAAGUUGAACUUGGUUACCAACACAAUUGAAAGCUAACGGUUGAUAAUCAAUAUUGUUUGAGUAGAUUGGUACAUUAAUUAACUGUUGAUUAAUUUACUAAUCAACUCAAACUGAAGUUGAACUUGGUUAGCAACAAUAAUAUUUUAAGUUUUUAACCAAUUGAACUGAUUUUUACAUCAAAAUAAGAAAUUAAAAAUUUUAACUUACAUCAUAAUCAGAAAUAUGGUCUUCAAAAUCUAAAUCUCUCUCUUCCUCGUCGUGACGAUUAGGUAUGCUUUUGAGAGAUUUCCUAUUUUUCUAAAGACCCGUUGUUAUAGUAUGUUUAGCUCUUCCCAUUGCAAAACCCUUAAUCUAAAUCUAAGGUUUUGGAAAAAAAAUAUAUUGGAUUUUAGAAAACUAGGGUUUGAUUUAAGUUUUAUUUUGGUUGAUUGGAGUGAAAUUAGAGAGAAAUUGCACAGAGGAUCGAAGAAAUUGAAUGUCCGUGUUGAAGUCCGAGAAAGAGGACGAAGAGAGAGAAGGAUUUCGGGUUUGAUCGAAAUUGAAGAAGAAACCUCCCAUUAACCAUUACUGGCGACGUAUCCUCAGAACAGGACAAGCAUAAUACAUGCCCGACCGGACCACUUAAUCAACUCCCCACCAGACCACUUAACUUCAUCACUUCAUUAUGAUAUUUGUGUGUUCGCUUUGAAGUACUAGUCAUUUAGACAAUUGACAUGGAUGGCAGGAUAUGAGGAUAUGCAUUUGUGUGUUUGUUAACAAAUAAUGAUAAGAAAACUUUG
rnacentral:lncRNA from 1 species